rnacentral:rRNA from 1 species
GUGUUUACGUACCUUAUUUGCUUCGGCGGGCCCGCCAUUCAUGGCCGCCGGGGGCUCUCAGCCCCGGGCCCGCGCCCGCCGGAGACACCACGAACUCUGUCUGAUCUAGUGAAGUCUGAGUUGAUUGUAUCGCAAUCAGUUAAAACUUUCAACAAUGGAUCUCUUGGUUCCGGCAUCGAUGAAGAACGCAGCGAAAUGCGAUAACUAGUGUGAAUUGCAGAAUUCCGUGAAUCAUCGAGUCUUUGAACGCACAUUGCGCCCCCUGGUAUUCCGGGGGGCAUGCCUGUCCGAGCGUCAUUGCUGCCCAUCAAGCACGGCUUGUGUGUUGGGUCGUCGUCCCCUCUCCGGGGGGGACGGGCCCCAAAGGCAGCGGCGGCACCGCGUCCGAUCCUCGAGCGUAUGGGGCUUUGUCACCCGCUCUGUAGGGCCCGGCCGGCGCUUGCCCGGAAACCGGCCAAAAUCCAAUCCUUUUUCCAGGUUGACCUCGGAUCAGGUAGGGAUACCCGCUGAACUUAAGCAUAUCAAUAG